rnacentral:rRNA from 1 species
GACGAACGCUGGCGGCGUGCCUAAUACAUGCAAGUAGAACGCUGAAGGAGGAGCUUGCUUCUCUGGAUGAGUUGCGCACGGGUGAGUAACGCGUAGGUAACCUGCCUGGUAGCGGGGGAUAACUCUUGGAAACGAUAGCUAAUACCGCAUAAUAGCAGUUGUUGCAUGACAACCGUUUGAAAGGUGCAAUUGCACCACUACCAGAUGGACCUGCGUUGUUUUAUCUAGUUGGUGGGGUAACGGCUCACAAGGGCAACGAAACAUAGCGGCCCGGGGAGGGGGUCGGGCAAAACUGGACCGGGACAACGGCCAGGCGCCUUCGGGGAGCAGCAGUAGGGGAUCUUCGGCAAAUGACGGAAGGCUGGCCGGGCAACGCCGGGGGAGUGAAGAAGGGUUUCGGAUCGGAAAGCUCUGUUGUAAGGGAAGAACGAGUGUGAGAGUGGAAAGUGCACACUGUGACGGUACCUUACCAGAAAGGGACGGCUAACUACGUG